AGGGUUGGUCUCUUUUUGACCGGUGAGUUGAGAACUUCCUUUUAGGAGUAGCGGCAUCCAUUGGUGGCCGGAGGAAGGAGUUCCGGCAAGGUGAAGGCAGCCAGAAUUUCGAGCUUUUCCGGCAAGUUCCGGCGAGGAAUGGAUGAUCGAAGGGCAUAUAUUCAGACUCUCCUUAGCUCAAGCUUUCCAAUGGCACCAGUUUCGUGGCGAUCGGACUCCGUUUGAAAAUCGACGGUUGAGAUCGUCCGUAAAUUUCUUCGGAUAAUUGGGGGUCGGAUCGGAAGAUCGGAUGCUAGAAUCAUCAUCAGCGCGUUGUUUUGAGUCCAUAGGCGCGUUCGGAUCGUCGAUCAGACUCCGGCGGCUGAAGGCGAAUCGACCGAGUGAUCAAGCGUCUCGGUUCUGGAUCCGUUUUACGGGGGGUAAACGUCCGUGUUUAAGGGAGGUUCUACCGAAUUUUCGAUAAAUCUGUCAGUUCAGCUCGCUUCACCCAAGGCAUCGGAGCAGGGCUAGGAGAUCGUCAAAACUGAUAAUGACAAUAAAACAUGCCACUUGAUGGAUUGCAUUAGGACCGCGUGCGCACUAAUAUGAAUUUGAGUCAGGUAAUCGAAGAAUAGUUUAGAACUUGCUCUGGUCGAGUUUAACUCUCUGGACUGAGUAGAAUGAGUUGCAUGAGUAAAGGUUCAUGGUUGAGCAUUGCUCUCUAGGCGCCGACUUUGUUGGAAAUUUAAAUGACCAGACUGGAUUUAAGGAUGCUGGUCGAGCUUCGCUCUCUGGGCACCAGUUCUGUUGGAACGAGAGAGCCGAAAGGCUAAGACUGUUUAGUAAUGGGGAUUAGGAUUCUACUGAAGCACUCCAUCCCGUAAUAU